UCAUAAUAAAGAAUGAAAGACUGACUGCCCAGUUCAACGUUAGUUCACCGUCUCACCUCAUACAGUAUUGGAGCAGCAGCAGCUGACUUGAUCGUUGAUGCUAAUCAGCAUAUUUGAAUCUGAGAGUAAAUAGAGCCGACUACACUCUAAAAAUGAAGGGUUCAACUGGAGUUGUUCUCAGAUCCCCUAAGAACCGUAGGGUUCUUGUCAAUUAAAAACAACCCCAAAAGGUUCUUCAAAUUACUUGUUAGAAGGUGGGUUCAUCGAGGAACCUCCGUUGUUGCUGGACUUCUUCCGGAAACCUCGCAAUUACAACUGAAAACGCUGGUGGCAAGUUUGGAUGCGACAACAGUUAAAAAGGACAGAACAUGAACACAAUGCAAUUGGGAUCAAGAAGAUGUUCUCAGAAAUGAAUCAAGUCCAUGGAAUGGAUAUAGACAAAAAGAGGACUAGCAGAGGUAGAGAGGUGAGGCAGGGGUGAGGACAUCAUCCUGCUAUUUUGACAGUCCCUGAAGGACAAUACAGAAGAGGACUGGAGACCACAGCAGCGAUUCUGCUCUUGCCCUACCUCUUCAAUGAGGACCCGAGUGGCCUUUAUGUCCUUGACAAUGUAUCAUCUGUUUCUUCAUAAACAUAGAUUUCACCGCUCUUCACUCCUUUACUGCACAUCGGCGGAAAUCCAUUUCACCAUGAGAGUGAAAUCCCGCUGACCUUUGAUGGGGAGAACAUCCACGCCCUUGAGGACGUCCUCAUGGGACUUGGGGCUCUGCUAGGGCUGUAUUAUUUAUUUUCCCUUCAAUUUCCCCAAAAUGUCAGAAAAACACUUAUGUUGUUUUAAGUUACUGUGUUCUGGGGAUAAAUGAAGUUGGGGUGAAGUUACCAGGGCCAUAAUGAUGGCAAACUUCCUAACAUAACUAAGUGGAUAGGAUAUACACACUAAAGCUGAAAAAUCUGUAUUUAGCAUCAAGUCUACAAUAUUGUUAGUUUACCUAUGAUACAUUCAAAAUGAAUGUUGUUUUUAUUGUACAUCAUUAUUUUUUAAUUUGUUGUAAAUGUCAUGAAAAGCACUAUACAAAGUAAAUGUAGUAUUUAUUAUAGUCUGACAUGUCUGCAGAAAUGUUGCAAUUUUGUAAUGUGUUUUGUAAAUAUUAAUUCACAUUUGUGGUGCCACUAAAUUAACAAUGAAUUAUUUAAA